rnacentral:lncRNA from 1 species
CACAUUAAAAAUUAAUUUUUAAUUACUAUAAGAAUAUAUAAAUGGCCCAAAUUAAUAAAAACUAUUUUAAACUAAAUAGCCAUUUAAUUUAUAGACUAAAAAUUUUUUAUUUUAUUUUAUUUUAUCCCAAAAAGGACUACUUUGAAAAAUAUAAAAAAUGUGGGGACCAAUAUGUCAUUUGGCAAAAGACCUAGCCUCCGCCAUCCAUUCGACCAAACCAAACCCGAUCCCGUCAUCAGCCCAGAUCGCCGGUGACAACGAACGCUUUCGCUUCGCCAGCCUCUCCUCUCCACUGCCGGCAUGUAGGAGGUCAACGGUGAUGCAAGAGAUCCCGCGAUCUCCCAUAGCCAUCUCCCGCGUCCUACAAUCCAUCAGUGGCGUGUUCUUCGACGGCUCGUGAGGAAGCAAAAACCAAGAUCUCUGCCUUCUCGAUCUUCACCGACGAAGGAACAGUCAUCGACCAGCCCCGGCUUCGCUCAUCAACCAGCAAGUCACACAACUGUUUGCGCAUCCACGGCCGACCAAAGCAGUGUCGGCAAGCCUCAACCAUCGGCGAUUCCUGCAAUGGGCAACGAUAAGAAGAUCGUUGAGCAGAUCGAGACGCCCGACGAUGACCUUCAGCAGCCACAGAUGCUACAGCUGCGCACAGCAUGCGAGGAAUGUCGGCAACAGGUGUGCGAUGUCGUCGACAGGCGUGCGAUACCGUGGUUGAUGGUUCUCUCGAUCGUCGGAUCUAUGUUCUUCAACCAAAACGAUUUUUAGAAAAUCAAAAUUCAAUUUCCUUUUUUUCUUAUUUUAUUAAAAUUAUUUUAAUAAAAAAUUAAACUAUUUUAAUUUCUAAAUAAAAAUAAUUUUACAAUAAUAAAUCUAAAAAGAUUUUUGAAGAAGUCCAAAUUUUAUUAGCACAUAAAAUUUAAUUCAAUUAAUAUCAAUAAUAAAUAUAAUUAAAUAUUAUACUUUAAUCAUUUAAAU